CAUUGAAAAAAUAAUAUCAAUAUAUCGAUGUAUCAAUAUUUUUUCGACGAGCCUAAGCUGUCGACUGCUCUAGCGCAGUCAACGGCUCGAGCAGUCGGUGUAUGCCUCGCAACCGCUCGCGAGCGGUCGACGGCACGAUGGAAUUUCAUCAUGCAGUUGACGGCUUGAAGCGGUCGCGACUGCUCGAGCAGUCGUGUGUACGGCAGCGAAUGAAUGACUAUAGUUCACUGCACGGUCGCGGCUUUAAGCAGUCGGUCUCAACUGCCUGAAGCAGUCCGUGUACGGCGGCCUACAGUCACGCCGCUAGACGCGCCGUUGGACAGCGCGCUGUUGGACAGCGCGCUGUUGGACAGCGCGCGUUUGAACAGCGCGCGUUUGAACAGCGGUGCACCAUAAAACGACAUUAGUACGGCGCGUUUCGCUGCUGUGAGACAGUCGUGUACAAACAGAUACAAAAUGAACGGCAAUGCGGUUAGAGUACUGGCUAUUUACUUUUUAUGGAAAAAAAGGCAACAAAAACGUCGAAGAACAGUAGGUGUUGAUCCUUAUAACGCUACAAGGUUACUGAGAGGCGAACACGUAACAUCUUUCUCUGAUUUACGAGAAAAUAGUUAUAAAUUUUAUAAAUAUUUUCGCCUAUCAACCAGCAGUUUCGACGAAUUACUGUGCAAGUUAGAGUUUUCUUUACGAAGAUCCAGCAUACGUCGCAUCCCCAUAGCUCCAGUGGAAAAAUUGGCGAUUACUCUAAGGUAAGUGAAAUAAAAGAGUAGGUUUUGUAAUAAAUGAUAAUAUUUGUUUGGCUUAUUUUAAUCACAGUCGUAUUUUAAUUACAACCUAACACACUUAUUCAUAAAUGCUGAUUAAACCUAUUUUAGUUAAAAUGGUCUUAAAAUCGGAAUCUUCUCUUUCAUUUUGCAAAUGUAGAAAAGAAACAAAACACUUGUAAAACCUAUAUUAAUCUCACUCGUUUUUAAUGAAUAAGGGCAUAAUUUUAAAUCACAGUGUUAUUAUAAUCAUUGACUUAUUUUAAAUCACAGUCUUAUUUUAAUCAUAAUCUUAUUUUAAAUCACAGUCUUAUUUUAAUCAUAAUCUUAUUUUAAAUCACAGUCUUAUUUUAAUCACAGUCUCAUUUGAAUCAUAGUCUCAUUUUAAUCAGUCUUACUUUGUAGCUAAAAAUUGACAAGUACUUGUGAGGUUCACUGGUGUGUGUAGUUAGAAGGAACGCCGAAUGAUUUGUUGGUGUGUCUAUGUCAAAGUAUUGUGACAAGUUAGUGUGCCUGCUAUCUUGACGUCAAGCUACCAGGCACACGAAGCCUGGCAACCUGACAACUUUGCCCUUUCGGAGCGGCAUUGCCUCCCAGGCUGUAGCAUUUUGAUUUUUGCGAAGUAGUAAUAAACUUUUUAAAAUAAAUCUGUAAAAAAUAACUAAUAUCCUUAUUGAUCCUCAUUAUCAGGAUAAUUUGAGUUAUUAUCGCCAGUCGGCGAUACGACAUUUGAUAAUUCUACUGCAGAUUCAUAAAGCUGCUGUUGAGGUGUAGAGGUGGUAGCAUAGGCAUAGGUAUAAUUAUGAAGUGGCAAUGUUUGAGUUGUGUAAUUAUAAGUAGAAUUUGCGUUCACACUAGAAUUAACAUUAUUUUCUGGUGAUGAAAAGCUAGGUGUCGUAGUCGUUGGAGCUGAAAUCCCAAUAAGUAAUUCUAGAACCUUUGCGCGAAACUGCAGCUUUUGAUAAGCACUUAAUAAUAAUUAUUAAUUCCUGAUGGAUUAUGGAUGGAAACUCAAACACCAGUAUGAUUGUAAAAGAUUAUAAUUAGGAAAACGUCCGAGCACGAUGUACAUGAAUCUCAGCGGUAAGGCAAAAAAAAAACACUUAAAUUACUUAGAAUCGGACCAAGAGACUCAAAAAAUGACAAAUCAUCAGGAUUGAGGUUGGAAGGGGAAGUAUUUUGGUUAAGCAACGUUAUUAAUUCGUUUUCAAAAUUUGAUUGUUCUGAUUUACGUUUAUUCAUUCCACUACGUUUAUUCCAUUUGUUUUGACUAUUUUCUGUGUUUUCCUGUGGUCUAUGGAGCUGAGAUGGAGUACUCAAGUUAUUCGCUGAUGUGGCUGUUUCAGUCAAAUCUUCAGAUACGAUAGACUGAUUAUCGCUUAAUGAUUCUGUAACUUCAUUUUCUGAAAUACGAUCAAGGAAUGUCGAAAAAUAGAUACUUCUUGUGUUUUGCAGCGCUUCCAGAUGGCGUAUUUCGCAUAUUCCCUUUUGUUCUGAAAUAAUUAUCUCUGGCUGAUUUCCAUCGAUGGCGUAUUUGUUUAUCUGCAAUAAAAACGUAUUUUUUUAGGUACUUACCUAUAUCCUAAAAUCAAAUGAAAAUACUUUUUGUUUUCAGGUUUUUGGCAACGGGCAGUACUUUCUCCGAUUUAUCUAUCACAUACAGAAUGGGAAUCACUACUGUAGCUAAGAUAGUAGAUGAAGUUUGUUCGACUAUAUGGGAAAAACUGCGUCAUGAAUGUGUACCUGAACCAACUACAGAAAUGUGGCAGCGCAUAAGUGAAGAAUUUCAGUUAUAUGCAAAUUUUCCAAAUUGUUGCGGGGCGAUAGAUGGUAAACACAUACGUAUAGUAAAUCCUGCAGGUGGAGGCUCAAUGUUUUAUAAUUAUAAACAUUUCUAUUCUAUCGUCCUUUUGGCAAUGUGCGAUGCGAACUAUUGUUUCACAUAUAUUAACAUAGGUUCUUGCGGGAAAAACUCAGACUCUAUAAUAUUUCAAGAGAGUUCACUAUUUCAAAAGUUACAGAACAAUAGUUUGAGGUUGCCAGGUGUAAAGCAUCUGCCGGGCACUAAUAUAACAGUACCACACAUAAUAGUUGGUGAUGGUGCAUUUGGUAUAUCCAACCAUGUGAUGAGACCUUAUGUGCGAUCCAACAUGACUCAUAAAAAGAAAAUAUUUAAUUACCGCUUAAGUCGUGCUAGACGGUACAUAGAGUCGACGUUUGGAAUAAUGUCCAACAAAUUCAGAGUAUUCCAUACUCCUAUGAGUGUCAGUUUUCCUAUUGCAAAAAAGAUAGUUCAAGCCUGUUGCAUAUUGCAUAAUUUUAUUAGAGUACGGGAUGGCUACAACGUUAAUCACACAUUAACUAUAAUGGGAUUGACUGAUCUAAUUAACGACCCAGAUCAUAGAUCAGGAAACACAUUACGCGAUAUAUUCGCUAAUUACUUCGUAUCACCCACUGGUAGCGUGUCAUGGCAAGAUAGAUCUGUGUUCUGAUUUUAUAGUUGACACCUACCGCGAAAUUCAAAAAUGGAACGAAACGAAACGCAGUAAUAUCGUCGUGGCUUAUUUGAUUUACCUACCCAAUUAAUAUUUUUCACUAGGUGACCCGGCAGACGUUGUACUGCCUCAAUCGAUAAAAUUUUCAUAUUUAUUCACCUUUUAAACCUCAUCUGGACUUCCACAAAUAAAUCAUAACCAAAAUUAGCCAAAUCGGUCCAGCCGUUCUCGAUUUUAGCGAGACUAACGAACAGCAAUUGAUUUAUAUUUUUAAAUAGAUUAGAAUUUCUGAAAUUCGCGGGCGAACAAAACGAUUUCACUUAAUUUUACACUAGGUAAUAAGUAGCUAAUGUGACUUAAUUAAGGUACCAGACUCGUCGGUUACACUUGACAAACGAUCUUUAAAGUUAAUUUAUAUCUCUUAUUGUGAACUGAACACUAAAAGUGAUUGAAUGUUUUAAUGGAGGAUGGAGGAUUUCGUUUGUGCAACUAGCGGUAAACAUGUAUGUAACAAAAAAGAUUUUAUUAAUAAAUGUUUCUUACCUAA